AAGAGCGACGAAGCGAAAGGUUGCUCUAUAACUGAUAAACACAUAGGUUAUAGAGGUUUUUUCGUGGAGCAAUGUCCAGUUCAAUGAAACCGGGCGACAA
rnacentral:ncRNA from 1 species